rnacentral:rRNA from 1 species
UACGAAGGGGGCUAGCGUUGCUCGGAAUCACUGGGCGUAAAGGGUGCGUAGGCGGGUCUUUAAGUCAGGGGUGAAAUCCUGGAGCUCAACUCCAGAACUGCCUUUGAUACUGAGGAUCUUGAGUUCGGGAGAGGUGAGUGGAACUGCGAGUGUAGAGGUGAAAUUCGUAGAUAUUCGCAAGAACACCAGUGGCGAAGGCGGACUCACUGGCCCGAGUACUGACGCUGAUGCGCGAAAGCGUGGGGAGCAA